CAGCCGCCCGCGGUAAAACCAGCACCUCAAGUGGUCAGGAUGAUUAUUGGGCCUAAAGCAUCCGUAGCCGGCUCUGUUAGUUUUCGGUUAAAUCUGUAUGCUCAACAUACAGGCUGCCGGGAAUACUGCAGAGCUAGGGAGUGGGAGAGGUAGACGGUACUCGGUAGGAAGGGGUAAAAUCCUUUGAUCUAUUGAUGACCACCUGUGGCGAAGGCGGUCUACCAGAACACGUCCGACGGUGAGGGAUGAAAGCUGGGGGAGCAAACCGGAUUAGAUACCCGGGUAGUCCCAGCUGUAAACUAUGCAAACUCAGUGAUGCAUUGGCUUGUGGCCAAUGCAGUGCUGCAGGG
rnacentral:rRNA from 1 species